GUUGAACGCUGGCGGCGUGCCUAAUACAUGCAAGUCGAACGCAGUGGGGACGGGUGAGUAACAUGUGGGUAACCUCCCAUCAGAGGGGAUAACACUUGGAAACAGGUGCUAAACCGAUACUGAUGGAUGGACGCGCGGUGCAGUAGCUAGUUGGUGAGGUAACGGCUCACCAAGGCCACGAUGCAUAGCCGGCCUGAGAGGGUGAUCAGCCACACUGGGACUGAGACACGGCCCAGACUCCUACGGGAGGCAGCAGUAGGGAAUCUUGGGCAAUGGGCGAAAGUCUGACCGAGCAAUGCCGCGUGAGUGAAGAAGGUUUUCGGGUCGUAAAGCUCUGUUAUUGGGGAAGCGGUAUCUAAACAGGAAGCAACGGCUAACUACGUGCCAGCAGCCGCGGUAAUUC
rnacentral:rRNA from 1 species